UUUCUACUCCCUCCGUCUGAAAAUACUUGUCAUCAAAAUGGAUAAAAAGAGAUGUAUCUAAAACUAAAAUACGUCUAGAUACAUUUCCUUUUAUCCAUUUUGAUGAAAAGUAUUUCCGGACGGAGGGAGUAUUUG
rnacentral:pre_miRNA from 1 species